CAGUCCACUGUGAGUGAGUGAAAAUCACUCAAGGCUUGCCUGCAUGUGGCUUGUGAAAAAUUAAGUGUCUGACGUCCCAAAGUAACACGGAAGCCACAAGAGGCACCAGAGCUUGCAGAUUAAUUGUGACUGCCUGGGUUUCCUUACUGCGCUCUUUAGUCCAAGUUAGGUGGGCAUUUGUACAUUGUGCCCAUGUUAGAAUGAGGUUGGCUCAGUUGGAAAUGAAAACCCUGACUUCAUGGGUUUCUAAGAAAAUUGGGUAGGCUGUAUCGGGGAUGCAGCCACAGUGGGGUACACGAAAUCUCUUGUGCAUGCUGCAGAGAGUGUGUGGGCACUAGGGUACAGAAAUUAUAUAACCAGACGCGCAAGUGACACUUGUACAUGCAUUGCAUAGCUUAUGGUACAGCUAGUGAAGGCCCGGUGGUGUAAUCUUGCAGUCAUGCUCACUCCCUGCUCAUAGUGGGCCAGCUGUGGCCAAAGGGGGCGGGCACGAAUUGGCAUCUCUCUGUCUUGCUGCCCAAGUCUCUUCACGCCAUUUCUGAGCCCUACGUGUUGAAUACGGCGGCAUUAUAGCCGAGCAACCAUAAAAUUUCUGCAACAAAUUGCACACCUAUGAGCCUUACUAAUAAGCACAGGUCUGAGUUUGAUGAGUUACACCUACUAUAGCAGAGUGAGCUCUCGCCAAUGCGACCACUCCUGCUCAAAUAGACAAGUGUAUUGCUGGGCUCCGCCUCUUUGAAUGCCAAGUGAGAGGCUGAAUUUAGCACUGAUUGCUUCAUGCGUGCUGCAAGAACGCCUCCAUCUGUGCAUGUGACACACACAUGAUCGAGUAAUGGCUUCUGUCCUCUACACAACAACAAAGUAAAGUGUCUGGGUAGUACGGUUGCAAAGAUGUAAGCAAUAAUUAGUAUUACGUGUUUCUGUCACAUUUCAUUACAUACAUGUAAUGUUGCAUGUGGUUUUAGCAAGUGACCCCCUAUGCUGACUGAAAUGGGAGGCAUCUCACGUCAAAAGAUCAGCGUGAUUAGUCGUCACCACAUGAUGUGCAGAAUGCUUCACAGGAUCCGCAGUGUUGGAAUUAAUGAUGGCAUCACAUGUACUGCCCUUCUAAUUGCCCUUUAUUCCAUCCUGCCUGCCAUCUUCCUCCUAGCAUCACUCCAUGCUGGAAGCUGAAACUGCAUCAGCUGCACUGCAGCAAUCCAUUGCCUUCCAUGCAAACACUGCUCAAUUGCACCGCUGACCUCUUCUCAUAGUACCAAACUCACGGGGUGGGUACCUCGAAGAAAAAAGAAACAGGCGGCCGGUAUGAAAUGAGUCCAUUUCAUUCGCCUGCGCUUCAUGCUAAAGCAUGCUUGCAGCAUACCCUGGAUUUGUGUAAGCGCAGGUGUUGUGCACGAGAUGUCAGGUUCGUUCAGCAUGCGCACAUGGCUGGCAGGUUACCGCAGUCAUCCAAUUAAAAAAGUGCAGGGCAAGCAUAAUGAACUGUACAAUGAGUCAGAGAACUUGUUGCUCACAAGGGCUAAUUCUUUUGAGUGCUGCAGAGUAUUUUGACAGAAAGUGCUGGUGCAGUUCAGUGGCCUGUAAACGUCGAGCACAUGUUCAUCUAGUGAACAAAACCACAAAUGGUUGAGCCGAGAUUUAAAAGUGUCGGAGCAGUGAAGUAGCAAGACACCAAGCACAACGAUGAUUUCGUAGCAUGCACAUCAAAGGGCAUGCGCAUAGCUGGAAUAAGUCAGUGUGGUGACUUUGAGAAAAAGAAGAAGAAAAAAAAGCACAGUGUGCAGAUGUGCUUAUUCCACAUAAGCUUUGUGACCAACCACAACUGUCCAAAAGAGGCCAAAUUCUGGCCACGCAAGGAGAAUUCUUAGAAAAUUUCACAAUAUUGCCUCUUUUACAUGGCUCUAAGGAAUGCAAAAUCCAUAAAACUUGACCUUCCCUUGCUUGAUCAGGCUUCACGCAUGCAGCUUCCAGUGGCAGUUAUGUUCCUGGUUGUCCCACUUGUUAUAUUUUGCUAUUGUGUGACCUUAUUUAUUGUUUGGCAUAUUACUGCAACUUCUUUUCUUUUUUACUUGAGUGCCACACACAGACACACGCAACAACAACAAAAAAUAAACCUGACCACAUAGAAUCGUCUUUGUCCUGGUGACAUUGCAAGGCAUCAGGGUCUAGUAGAUUUAUAUUCGUUCGUCAUGAGUAGAUUCAAUUAUUCUGUAAACUCGGAUGUGCGUGAAAGUUAUAACAUGUACCAAUGAGUUUCUGUAAAAGGCCAAAAGUGAAGCUCCCUAAUUUUAUCUUAAAAAUCCUAGUAAGUUAAUAUUAAUUAAUGAAUUUUACAUCCUGAAGCUUAGACCUCAUCUAGUACGAUGGGCACCAUACAAAAUAACUCCUAAUCAGCAUGGACCACCUGGAAAACUUUUCACACAGGCAUCUUUGUGCUCAAUGGUAUGUGACUACUACACAUUGAUUAAAUGAAAAAGAUGGCGAAUAGCACACAGACUCAUCGGCCAUGCCAACUAUGCAGCCACUUUCUUUUUUAGUGUGCUGAGGAGAUGAAAAGUGUGCUACAAAAGAACUGCCAGACAGAUUUGCAGGGCAACUUCACAGCAAAGGGCUGUUGAAGGUUCCCAACAGGCUUUUUGUUUUCGCAGUGCAUGCAUAAUAAACACUGUCUAUUGUGUUGCCCUUGGGAAGGAGAGAGCACAGGAUCAUGUAGCCGAACAGGACAGGAACAUACUAUUAGCAUAUUAAAAAAAAAGUGCUAGAAGGAUCAGAGGAACCGAUGGACUUGAUUCUUUAGUAACAACCAGAUGAAGUUAAGGAAAGUAACUGCAGAAAUAACUUUGAAUGAGGGACAAACUUGCGAUAAGCUCUAUAUUCUUAAUGAAGGAGAAGGGAAAUGAAAGUGGGAAGAAAAGACAACUUGCUGUCAGUAAGAGCAGGAGCGUGUGAUGCUCUACCUAACAGGGUACACAGCAGUGGCUGCCCUCUGUCCACCUGGUUCAGUAUUAGCUUGAUGAACGCAGCUGGCUUCAUAAAGAAAGAUGCAUUACAACUUCAAAGGCUGUCUUGAGGAAUCCUCGAAACAUGCCACGCGCCACGUGAAUUGAGCUGCAAGAUGUUCUCAGACCACGGCAGCGUAAUAACUCUGAAGGCCUCGAUGAGACACUGUAAAUAACUUUUGUGGCAGUGCAUUUUGUACGUGUGUUAUGUAUUAAUAUGGCUGUUCUUUCUUUUUCUCUCAUUCCUUUUAUUUCAUUGAUCACCAUCGCAGCUAGAGUAGCAUGUCAAGACUGUUGCUGAGCUAACCUCUCCAAAUACCACUACACUUUCUCGCUCUCUUGUAGCAUUCUGCUACAGUGAAGUGAAUGGCAAUUUUUCCAUACAUAAUAAAAAAGACAGUGCAAACAAAUCUCACAAGGUGGUCACUCAUACUAUAAUACCCUCCCUGUUUUAAUGUUCCUGCCACCAAUGAAGCAACAGAACAGUAUGGUAAAAGAACUACAGCAAGUGCCUACACGAAAUAAGGACGUGGCAAUUUUUUGUAAUGUCACCUGCUUAGCUUUGUCAAUAAUUUGUAAAAAUAAUAAGUAUUCAUUAGCAAAUGACCACGAAGUUCUUGCAAUGUCCCCUAGUUAACAUUUUAAAUAAUUAAUAAAAAUAAUAAUUAUUCAUGAGCAAACAACUAUGAAGUAAUAUGCAGCUCUAAGAAACAAAAGUUAUUGUGUGACUGGCUCGCAAGCUCACAGCACUUUACAGGCUCGAUGCUUUAGCCCCCUUGCAGCAGAACAUAUAAAAACAAUCAGGUUCAGCACUGAAUGACAAAUAAGAACUGCAAGGCAAGAACAUGUCCACAGCAAUGUCACUAAUAAAUGAACAACGAUGAGCACUAUGCAAUCUUUCGAGCAUUAAUAUUUCAUGAACCCCAACGACCUUAAAUUUCUCUUUGAUUUUAUAAAAGUGAGGGUCAAAUCUUUUUCUAGCUUGAUAAUAAAAAGGGGAAAAUAAAAAAAGCAUUGAGUUGGGUUACAACAGUUAGUGUAGCUCUGAGGCAUAAUACAUUUUUUAACCUGCCGUAUAUUAUAACACAGGCCCUCUGCAGUGAAAAAUGAGAGUAGCCCAUACUACAAGUGAUACAUUAAAAUCUAAUUAUGGGAUUUAACAUUUCAAAGCAACUCAUAGGAUAUGAAAGGUGCCACAGUGUGGAGCUGCGGAUUAAUUUUACCACCUCGGGCUCUUUAGUGUGCACCUAAAUCUAAGUCCAACGCACUUCGAUGGGGGCGAAAUGCAAGAACGCCCAUUUGCCGUGCCUUGGGUUCAUGUUAACGAACCCCAGGUGGUCAAAAUUAAUCCAGGGUACCUACAACAUGCCUCAUAAUCAGAUCAUGGUUUCGGCACAUAAAACCCCAGAAUUUAAUUUAGGAGUGUUUUUUGCAUUCUGCCUCCAUUGCAGUGCGACCAACGUUGCUGGAAGUCAAAUUUGUGACAUCGUGCUUGGCAGCAGAAUGCCAUAGCCACUGAGUCACCGCAGCAAGUGUGCAAAGUGAGACUGCUAUCAAAUACUUAAAGCUAUGUUAAAGUGAGAGAUUAUGUUAAUCUGGAUUGGUAAAUCCCAGUACUUGGAAGUUCAAAGUUGGUCAGUUGAUCUUACUGUGAAUGGGGACUUGGAAA